UCCCUCUCAGGGUCACACCUGGAGAGUUUCCAGUACUUUACCGGUCUUGGUUAUGGGAGGGAGAGUCAAGAAGAGGCAUGCCCAUUCCAUUCCUAGCUUGGGCAGUGGCUAGCGAGCGGAAGGCAAUCUGAAACAAGU